AUUUGGCCGCGCGGUGUCCCACUAAUCAGCCAGCCAUCGGUAGUGAAAGGUUAACUGGAUUCAGCUCCCACCACGGCGCCGCCGCCGCCGCCGCCACCUCCAUGCCCCACCCGGCGGCCGCCGCAGCUCCCCAUCGGUGGCGACCAUCGCACGCGCAGCCGCUCUCUCCCCCGCUGCUCGGCUGCUCCUCCGCCAGCGCAUGGCUUCCUCCGCCGCCGCCUUCGCCGCCGCCCACCUCGCCCUGCCCUCCCCCUCCUCGUCUUCCUCCGACGACUCCGACGACGCCGACGAAGCUAGGAUCCUUCCGCCCUCGCCCGCGCUGGAGCCGGAGGCAGCCUCCCCGCCCCCGCCUCCGCAGCCGCCGCAGCCGCAGCAGCAGCCGGCGCGUCGGUGGCUGGACCUGGAGCGCGACUGCAACAUGGCAAUGAAGGCGCUGGCACGCGCGGGGGACGUCGCGCAGGUGGCCGACCUCUUCGCCGAGCUCGGGCGCUCCGCCUCGGCCGCCGGCGCGGCGCCGGGCGUCCUCUGCUACAACACGCUCCUCAACGCGCUCGCGGAGGACGGCCGCGCGGCGGAGGCCCGCGGGGUGUUCGACGGAAUGCUCGCGGCCGGGGUGGCGCCCACCGCGUCGUCCUUCAACAUCCUCGUCAAGCUCUACGCGUGGCGGACCGCCGAGUUCCACCUCGCCUACGACGAGAUCCGCGGGAUGCGGGGCCACGGGGUGGCCCCCGACGUCGGCACCUACUCCACGCUCGUCACCGGGCUGUGCCGCGCGGGGAGGCUCGACGAGGCGUGGGGCAUGCUCGACUGGAUGCUGCAGGAGGGGUGCCGCCCGAUGGUGCACACCUACACGCCCAUCUUGCAGGGUUAUUGCCGCGAUGGCCAUAUUGAGGAGGCUAGGAAGCUCAUGGACUUUAUGGAGGGUGCCGGUUGCCCACCCAAUUCUGUCACUUACAAUAUUCUGAUCAAGGCAUUGUGUGACGAUGGCAGAUUCGAUGAGGUCGAGCAGGUUUUGGUUGAGAUUAAAACUAAGGGCCUCAAGCCCAGUUCAGUGACCUAUAAUACAUAUAUGGAUGCUCUCAGCAAGAAAGGCAUGGGUGAGAAGGCACUUCGGCUGGUUGAGGAAAUGCAAUGUGAAGGUUUGAAACUCACAGCUUUUACUUUGAGCAUUGUCAUAAACUGCUGUUGUUGGAACUCGAAGUUUUCACAAGUCAUUCCCUUAUUAGAGAGGAGCACAGAGUUAGAUUGGUGUGCUGCUGUUGUUGCAUACAACACUCUGAUGAGCAGACUAUGUGACACAGGCAGAUGGUUGGCUCUUCUGGAGCUCUUGGCGUACAUGAUCAAGAAAGACAUCAUCCCAAACACGCGUACGUUCAACAUUUUCAUUAAUAGUCUUUGCACCAGGGGGAAGCUUUCUGUAGUAAAGAAUCUGGUUUUCAAUCAUGGGUUUCCUGCAAAUGUUGUGACAUACAAUACACUUAUCCAUUGGUCUUACUACCAUGGGAAGGCUAGUGAUGCAGAGAACAUGAUUGAGUACAUGACAGAAGUAGCCAAUAUUGCUCCGGAUGAAGUCACCUAUACCAUAAUGGUUGAUGGAUUUUGCCGACAAGGAGAAUUUGAUAAGGCUACUGAUUGUUUUAAAGAAUCUCUCAAGAAUAGACUGUCAAAGGAUCUUCUUACUGCCCUUUUAAAUAGGCUUGGUCGCAAGGAAAGAAUCUUGAACAUACUUGAUAUAUUCGAGGAAAUUGAAAGACGAGGUUUUGUCCAUGAUCACAUGAUAUUUGAGGGUACAAUUAGAUCAUUUUGUAGGUUUGGUUUUCGUCAGUAUACAAAGAUGUUUAAUCUGGAAUUUCUUCUUGAUGGAAUGUUGGGACCUGGAAAGGAACUAUACCCUGCCCAUAAGGGUCAAGGAAAGAGAUAAAUGAUCACAGGCAAGAUGGCAACUGCGACGGCAGUACCCGGCCAAUGGCGGAAGCUGGUGUCAGCGGAGGAGGUAGCGUGCAUUGAGGUCAAAGGGAUCCGGCGCCGGCGGAGGUGAAGGCACCGUGCACGGUGCACCUGGUUGCCUACAGAGCACUGAGCUGCCUGAUGUUGAUGGGGAAGAUGAGCGGCGCCGCCCCGUCGAACGCCGUGCUGGUGAGCUUCCGGGCGGUGGUCUCCGUGGGGUGGUAGAAGUCCCAGAAGACGUGGCUGGUCCUGUUGGCGCAGUAGAAGCUCAGCGGCGUGCACCCGACCUUGGCGUUCAUGUCCCCGAGCCCGCAGCACGCCGCCUUGGCCUCGGCGAACCCGUACGCCGCCGGCUGGUCGAUGAACUGGAGCAGCGCCGCCGAGGAGUCGAAGAGCGCGUAGCGCAUGUCCGGGUGGCGCGCCGCCAUGCCGGCCAGGAGCGACGCCGCGGCGGCGUUGUACUGGACGGAGGCGCCGUUGGCCACGGCGCUGCAGUCCUUGGAGGCGCUCAGCUCCCGCAGCGAUGGGCAGCAGCCGACGGGGCCCGUGCCCAGGAACACCAGCUUGCGCGCGCCCAGGUCGUAGAGCCGCUGCAGCUGCCCCGUGAGCGCCUGGAUCAGGGUGUCCACGAACUGCUGCGACGGGUCGGCGCCGGCGCCGCCGGUGGCCGUGCCAGAGCUGGACCUGGCGUAGUGGAUGAUGUCGUUGCUGCCGAUGGUGAUGGCGAAGAGGGACUUGGACAGGUGCGCUGCCGCCUGCGCCUGGCCCAGGCUCUGCGCCAGGGACGCUGACACCGACGACAAGUAGUCGAACUGCUUGUCGAAGCUGAUGCAUUGGUCCUGCACGGAAUGGUAUCAUUCAGUCGAAGUAGAAAGUAGUAUGUUCUUCUUUGGCUGAUCAACGUUUGAGCUCAAAUGGUGAUGUUUUGGAGAUUGGGCCACCUUGUUUGUGGAGUUGAGGACGCCGGCACCACCGGAAGCGAAGUUGACGCCGUUGGCGUAGUUGGCGUUGCCCGACAGGGCGAGGUAUGGCGGCGGGCUCGGCAGCCCAAGGUUGUCGGCUGCAUGAACACCAAAGAUAGUGACUUUAAUUACAAAAUGUUCCUGAUCAA